rnacentral:rRNA from 1 species
GACGAACGCUGGCGGCGUGCUUAACACAUGCAAGUCGAACGCUGAAGCACCAGCUUGCUGGUGUGGAUGAGUGGCGAACGGGUGAGUAAUACGUGAGUAACCUGCCCUUGACUCUGGGAUAAGCCCGGGAAACUGGGUCUAAUACUGGAUGCUACAUGUCACCGCAUGGUGGUGUGUGGAAAGGGUUUACUGGUCUUGGAUGGGCUCACGGCCUAUCAGCUUGUUGGUGAGGUAAUGGCUCACCAAGGCGACGACGGGUAGCCGGCCUGAGGGGGUGACCGGCCACACUGGGACUGAGACACGGCCCAGACUCCUACGGGAGGCAGCAGUGGGGAAUAUUGCACAAUGGGCGAAAGCCUGAUGCAGCGACGCCGCGUGAGGGAUGACGGUCUUCGGGUUGUAAACCUCUCUCAGCAGGGAAGAAGCCACAAGUGACGGUACCUGCAGAAGAAGCGCCGGCUAACUACGUGCCAGCAGCCGCGGUAA